CGUACGUAGCAGAGCAGCUCCCUCGCU
rnacentral:piRNA from 6 species